AGCCAAAGUUCGCAAGACGCUUCCUGAUGAGCUCGCGGCCUAUCAGCUAGUUGGUGAGGUAACGGCUCACCAAGGCGAUGACGGGUAGCUGGUCUGAGAGGACGACCAGCCACACUGGAACUGAGACACGGUCCAGACACCUACGGGUGGCAGCAGUCGAGUAAUUUUUCACAAGUCGGGGAAACCCUGAUGGAGCGACGCCGCGUGGAGGACGAAGGUCUUCGGAUUGUAAACUCCUGUCAUGCGGGAACAAGAAAGUGAUAGUACCGCAAGAGGAAGAGACGGCUAACUCUGUG
rnacentral:rRNA from 1 species